rnacentral:rRNA from 1 species
UACGUAGGGUGCGAGCGUUAAUCGGAAUUACUGGGCGUAAAGCGUGCGCAGGCGGUUCUUUAAGUCAGAUGUGAAAUCCCCGGGCUCAACCUGGGAACUGCCAUUGUGACUGCAUAGCUGGAGUGCGGCAGAGGGGGAUGGAAUUCCGCGUGUAGCAGUGAAAUGCGUAGAUAUGCGGAGGAACACCGAUGGCGAAGGCAAUCCCCUGGGCCUGCACUGACGCUCAUGCACGAAAGCGUGGGGAGCAAACAGG